GUGCUCACUUCAGCAGCAUAUAUCCUAAAAUUGGAAAGAUAGAGAUUAGCAUGGCCCCUGCACAAGGAUGACAUGCAAAUUCGUGAAGGAUUCCAUUUUUAA